rnacentral:rRNA from 1 species
AACGAACGCUGGCGGCAUGCCUAACACAUGCAAGUCGAACGAGACCUUCGGGUCUAGUGGCGCACGGGUGCGUAACGCGUGGGAACCUGCCCUUAGGUUCGGAAUAACUCCCCGAAAGGGGUGCUAAUACCGGAUAAUGUCUUCGGACCAAAGAUUUAUCGCCUUUGGAUGGGCCCGCGUUGGAUUAGCUAGUUGGUAGGGUAAAAGCCUACCAAGGCGACGAUCCAUAGCUGGUCUGAGAGGAUGAUCAGCCACACUGGGACUGAGACACGGCCCAGACUCCUAGCGGCGGCAGCAAAUAUGAAUCUUUGACAAUGGGCCAGAGCCUGAUCCAGCAAUGCCGCGUGAGUGAUCUACGCCUUAUGAUCGUAUUGCUCUUUUACCCGGGCUGAUAAUGACAGUACCUGCAGAAUAAGCACCGGCUAACUCCGUG